AAGGGCACCACAAGAACGCGUGGAGCAUGUGGCUUAAUUUGACUCAACGCGGGAAAUCUUACCGGGUCCGGACACACUGAGGAUUGACAGGUAAAAGUAUUUUUAGUAAUUUCGGUUACUUUUAAAUGCUGUAAAUAUGCUAGUCCUUUCAUGAUUGUGUGAUAGGUGGUGCAUGGCCGUUCUUAGUUCGUGGAAUAUUCUGUCUGCUUAAUUGCGUCUAUUCAAAGCACAUGCUUCUGUUAAAGUUGUUUCUUGCGAUUGUUUGGUCUUCGGAUCUUUCAGUUGUUUGAACUUCUGGAAGUAUCGUGCUUUUUGCAACGAACGUGACCUCAACCCCUCUUUGUGGAAAUUACAAAUUUUGGUCAUUAUAUUCAUUUAUUUUGACAUUGUCAGGAUUAUAUGCGUAAUUUUCGUAAUAGAGGGGGACUACCAGUUGCCAGCUGGGGGAAGGUUGAGGCAAUAACAGGUCUGUGAUGCCCUUAGAUGUUCCGGGCUGCACACGUGCUACAAUGAUCUAUGCAGUUAGCACAUAUACAUACACUGUCUAGCUUUUAUUUAUAAAAGUUAGCACAGACAGCCUGCUUCGAAAGAUAGCAGGUAAUCAAUUGUAAGUAUAGAUUUCCUUUAAAGCUUUUUAGUGACAAACAAUUCUUGUUUUGUUCACAUCGCUCUAACACAGUAGAAUUCAUAGUGGGGACAGACCUUUGUUAAUUUUUGGUCUCGUUUUCAACUAGGAAUGCCUUGUACGGGUCUUUGGUUCAUCAGACCACCCGGAAUACGUCCCUGCCCUUUGUACACACCGCCCGUC
rnacentral:rRNA from 1 species